rnacentral:rRNA from 1 species
GAUUUACAUUUGAGUGAGUGGCGAACUGGUGAGUAACACGUGGGAAACCUGCCCAGAAGCGGGGGAUAACACCUGGAAACAGAUGCUAAUACCGCAUAACAACUUGGACCGCAUGGUCCGAGCUUGAAAGAUGGCUUCGGCUAUCACUUUUGGAUGGUCCCGCGGCGUAUUAGCUAGAUGGUGGGGUAACGGCUCACCAUGGCAAUGAUACGUAGCCGACCUGAGAGGGUAAUCGGCCACAUUGGGACUGAGACACGGCCCAAACUCCUACGGGAGGCAGCAGUAGGGAAUCUUCCACAAUGGACGAAAGUCUGAUGGAGCAACGCCGCGUGAGUGAAGAAGGGUUUCGGCUCGUAAAACUCUGUUGUUAAAGAAGAACAUAUCUGAGAGUAACUGUUCAGGUAUUGACGGUAUUUAACCAGAAAGCCACGGCUAACUACGUGCCAGCAGCCGCGGUAAUACGUAGGUGGCAAGCGUUGUCCGGAUUUAUUGGGCGUAAAGCGAGCGCAGGCGGUUUUUUAAGUCUGAUGUGAAAGCCUUCGGCUCAACCGAAGAAGUGCAUCGGAAACUGGGAAACUUGAGUGCAGAAGAGGACAGUGGAACUCCAUGUGUAGCGGUGAAAUGCGUAGAUAUAUGGAAGAACACCAGUGGCGAAGGCGGCUGUCUGGUCUGUAACUGACGCUGAGGCUCGAAAGUAUGGGUAGCAAACAGGAUUAGAUACCCUGGUAGUCCAUACCGUAAACGAUGAAUGCUAAGUGUUGGAGGGUUUCCGCCCUUCAGUGCUGCAGCUAACGCAUUAAGCAUUCCGCCUGGGGAGUACGGCCGCAAGGCUGAAACUCAAAGGAAUUGACGGGGGCCCGCACAAGCGGUGGAGCAUGUGGUUUAAUUCGAAGCUACGCGAAGAACCUUACCAGGUCUUGACAUACUAUGCAAAUCUAAGAGAUUAGACGUUCCCUUCGGGGACAUGGAUACAGGUGGUGCAUGGUUGUCGUCAGCUCGUGUCGUGAGAUGUUGGGUUAAGUCCCGCAACGAGCGCAACCCUUAUUAUCAGUUGCCAGCAUUAAGUUGGGCACUCUGGUGAGACUGCCGGUGACAAACCGGAGGAAGGUGGGGAUGACGUCAAAUCAUCAUGCCCCUUAUGACCUGGGCUACACACGUGCUACAAUGGAUGGUACAACGAGUUGCGAACUCGCGAGAGUAAGCUAAUCUCUUAAAGCCAUUCUCAGUUCGGAUUGUAGGCUGCAACUCGCCUACAUGAAGUCGGAAUCGCUAGUAAUCGCGGAUCAGCAUGCCGCGGUGAAUACGUUCCCGGGCCUUGUACACACCGCCCGUCACACCAUGAGAGUUUGUAACACCCAAAGUCGG